UACGGGGGGGAGCAAGCGUUGUUCGGAUUUACUGGGCGUAAAGGGCGCGUAGGCGGCGUGACAAGUCACUUGUGAAAUCUCCGGGCUUAACCCGGAGCGGCCAAGUGAUACUGUCGUGCUAGAGUGCGGAAGGGGCUACUGGAAUUCUCGGUGUAGCGGUGAAAUGCGUAGAUAUCGAGAGGAACACCUGCGGCGAAGGCGGGUUGCUGGGCCGACACUGACGCUGAUGCGCGAAAGCCAGGGGGAGCGAACGGGG
rnacentral:rRNA from 1 species